UGGUAGAAGAGCAUCGUAUGAUAGGGAGAAGGAGGAUUGAAAAAGACUCUGGACGAAAUACGAGAGAGAAUGUUGGCAUGAGUAGCGAGAUGUGUGUGAGAAUCACACAGGCCGAAAACCCAAGGUUUUCCAAGGAAGGUUCGUCCGCUUGGAGUAAGUCGGGGCCUAAGGAGAGGCAGAAAUGCGUAUCUGAUGGAUAACAGGUUAAGAUUCCUGUACCUACGCUUAUCGCCAAAGAGGAGAAGGAAUGACGCAGGAGGAUAAGAUCAGCGCACGGUUGGAAGAGUGCGUCCAAGCAGUAAGGCAGGCAUAUAGGCAAAUCCGUAUGCUGGUAAUGUUGAGCUGUGACGGGGAGAGAAGUUAAGUAUCGAAGGAUCUGAUUUCACACUGACAGGAAAAGUUUCUAUCCAGAUAAGAGUAGCCCGUACCAAAACCGACACAGGUGGGUAAGGUGAGAAACCUAAGGCCAGCGAGAGAACUGUUGUUAAGGAACUCGGCAAAAUGACCCCGUAACUUAGGGAUAAGGGGUGCCUUAGAGAUAAGGCUUCAAGAAAAAGGCCCAAGCGACUGUUUACCAAAAACAUAGGUCUCUGCGAAACCGCAAGGUGAAGUAUAGGGGCUGACGCCUGCCCGGUGCUGGAAGGUUAAGAGGAGAUGUCAGGCAACGAAGCAUUGAAUUUAAGCCCCAGUAAACGGCGGCCGUAACUAUAACGGUCCUAAGGUAGCGAAAUUCCUUGUCGGGUAAGUUCCGACCCGCACGAAAGGCGUAACGAUUUGGGCACUGUCUCAACAACAGACUCGGUGAAAUUGUAGUACCGGUGAAGAUGCCGGAAACCUGCGACAGGACGGAAAGACCCCAUGGAGCUUUACUGUAGCUUAGUAUUGAAUUUAUGUAAUUAAUGUACAGAAUAGGUGGGAGGCGAAGAGAUUAGGUCGUCAGAUUUAAAGGAGCCGCCUUUGGGAUACCACCCUUUGAUUAUGUGAGUUCUAACCGGAAUCUUUGAAGCAAGGUACGGGACAGUGCUUGGCGGACAGUUUGACUGGGGCGGUCGCCUCCCAAAGAGUAACGGAGGCGUCCAAAGGUUCCCUCAGCAUGGUCGGAAAUCAUGCGAAGAGUGCAAAGGCAAAAGGGAGCUUGAUUGCGAGACCAACAAGUCGAGCAAAGACGAAAGUCGGGCUUAGUGAUCCGGUGGUAGAAAGUGGAAUUGCCAUCGCUCAACGGAUAAAAGCUACCCUGGGGAUAACAGGCUGAUCUCCCCCAAGAGUUCACAUCGACGGGGAGGUUUGGCACCUCGAUGUCGGCUCAUCACAUCCUGGGGCUGGAGUAGGUCCCAAGGGUUGGGCUGUUCGCCCAUUAAAGUGGUACGCGAGCUGGGUUCAGAACGUCGUGAGACAGUUCGGUCCCUAUCCGUCGCAGGCGUUGGAUAUUUGAGAGGAGCUAUCCUUAGUACGAGAGGACCGGGAUGGACGCACCACUGGUGUACCAGUUGUCUUGCCAAAGGCACAGCUGGGUAGCUAUGUGCGGAUAAGAUAAGUGCUGAAGGCAUCUAAGCACGAAGCCAACCUCAAGAUAAGAUAUCCCAUACGCAAGUAGUAAGACCCCAUUAAGAACAAGUGGUAGAUAGGCAAGGAGUGGAAGUGCAGUAAUGUAUGUAGCUGACUUGUACUAAUAGGUCGAGGACUUAACCU
rnacentral:rRNA from 1 species